CAGCCGCCGCGGUAAUACGAAGGGGGCUAGCGUUGUUCGGAAUUACUGGGCGUAAAGGGCGCGUAGGCGGCCAUUCAAGUUAGAUGUGAAAGCCCUGGGCUCAACCUAGGAAUUGCAUUUGAUACUGUUUGGCUUGAGUUCGGGAGAGGUGAGUGGAAUUCCCAGUGUAGAGGUGAAAUUCGUAGAUAUUGGGAAGAACACCAGUGGCGAAGGCGGCCCACUGGACCGACACUGACGCUGAGGCGCGAAAGCGUGGGGAGCAAACAGGAUUAGAUACCCCCGUAGUCCCUGUCUCUUAUAC
rnacentral:rRNA from 1 species